rnacentral:rRNA from 1 species
AAAUUGAAGAGUUUGAUCAUGGCUCAGAUUGAACGCUGGCGGCAGGCCUAACACAUGCAAGUCGAGCGGAAACGAGUUAUUAGAACCUUCGGGGGACGAUAACGGCGUCGAGCGGCGGACGGGUGAGUAAUGCCUAGGAAAUUGCCCUGAUGUGGGGGAUAACCAUUGGAAACGAUGGCUAAUACCGCAUGAUGCCUACGGGCCAAAGAGGGGGACCUUCGGGCCUCUC